AGAGUUUGAUCCUGGCUCAGGAUGAACGCUGGCGGUAUGCCUAACACAUGCAAGUCGAACGAAUCCUUUCGGGGAUGAGUGGCGGACGGGUGAGUAACGCGUGAGAAUCUGCCUUUUGGUCGGGGACAACCACUGGAAACGGUGGCUAAUACCGGAUGUGCCUUUAGGGGUGAAAGAUUAAUUGCCAGAAGAGGAGCUCGCGUCUGAUUAGCUAGUUGGUGAGGUAAAGGCUCACCAAGGCAGCGAUCAGUAGCUGGUCUGAGAGGAUGACCAGCCACACUGGGACUGAGACACGGCCCAGACUCCUACGGGAGGCAGCAGUGGGGAAUUUUCCGCAAUGGGCGAAAGCCUGACGGAGCAAUACCGCGUGAGGGAGGAAGGCUCUUGGGUUGUAAACCUCUUUUAUCAGGGAAGAACCAAAUGACGGUACCUGAAGAAUCAGCAUCGGCUAACUCCGUGCCAGCAGCCGCGGUAAUACGGAGGAUGCAAGCGUUAUCCGGAAUUAUUGGGCGUAAAGCGUCCGCAGGUGGCUCAUCAAGUCUGCUGUCAAAGGCAGGGGCUUAACCCCUGAAAGGCAGUGGAAACUGGAGAGCUAGAGUGCAGUAGGGGUAGAGGGAAUUCCCGGUGUAGCGGUGAAAUGCGUAGAGAUCGGGAAGAACAUCGGUGGCGAAAGCGCUCUGCUGGACUGCAACUGACACUAAAGGACGAAAGCUAGGGGAGCGAAUGGGAUUAGAUACCCCGGUAGUCC
rnacentral:rRNA from 1 species